UAGGAAUAUUGGACAAUGGGCGCAAGCCUGAUCCAGCCAUGCCGCGUGAGUGAUGAAGGCCUUCGGGUUGUAAAGCUCUUUAGCCGACGAAUAUAAUGACUGUAGUCGGAGAAUAAGCCCCGGCUAACUUCGUGCCAGCAGCCGCGGUAAUACGAGGGGGGCGAGCGUUGUUCGGAAUCACUGGGCGUAAAGCGUGCGUAGGCGGCGAUGAAAGUUAGGAGUGAAAGCCCAGGGCUUAACCCUGGAAUUGCUCUUAAUACUCCAUCGCUCGAAUCUCGGAGAGGAUAGCGGAAUUGUCAGUGUAGCAGUGAAAUGCGUAGAUAUUGACAGGAACACCAGUGGCGUAAGCGGCUAUCUGGACGAGUAUUGACGCUGAGGCACGAAAGCGUGGGGAUCAAA
rnacentral:rRNA from 1 species